ACGGGUGUAGCUCAGCUGGUAGAGCAGUGGUCUCCAAAACCAAAGGUCGAGAGUUCGAAUCUUUCCACCCGUGCUA
rnacentral:tRNA from 1 species